ACGUAAUUUUCGCGCGUUCUGUCAGCUAAGGCAAACAUCGCACAAAAAACAUACUCCUAUAAAUAUGAGGUCGAUUUACGUCUAAUUAUUUGGACUAACAAAAACAAUGCUAGUUGUGAAUCGACACAAAAACAAACACUGGAAAACGACGUGUAGACCGGUGUGGAAGGCUACCGAUUGCUGUUUGGCCGACACUCUCCUUCCGUUACUAAACGCAAAAAGAAGUUAUUUUGGUAAUUUGGAUGGAGACGGUUGAAAUAAAACAAAAUGUUAUUACUGGCUGAAGGACCAAAAUUGAAUGGACAGAGAACACGGUUGUCAAAACUCAAACAGAAGUUGUGUCACUCAGCUACAUUAAAACAUAAAACUGAAGGCAGAAGCAACAAAUACAACAUGUGAAGAAUGAAGCAACAGCGUAAUAAAACUCGGGAGGAGAUGUUGAUGGCGUCAAGGGAAAGAUAUGCCAUUCAGAGG